rnacentral:rRNA from 1 species
AGGAUGAACGCUGGCGGCGUGCCUAACACAUGCAAGUCGAACGUCCUGUCUCGCAAGAGGCAGGGAGUGGCGGACGGGUGAGUACCACGUGGGUCAUCUACCGUGAGGUGAGGAAUACCGGCGAGAAAUCGCCGACAAGACCGCAUAGGCUCGAUGCAAGUCGAGCAAAGCUCUUUCGAGAGAGGGAGCGCCACACGAGGAGCCUGCGCCCGAUUAGCUAGCUGGUGGAGUAACGGUUCACCAGGGCGACGAUCGGUAGCUGGUCUGAGAGGACGAUCAGCCACACUGGGAUUGAGAACGGCCCAGACUCCUACGGGGGGCAGCAGUGAGGAAUUUUCGUCAAUGGGGGCAACCCUGAACGAGCAACGCCGCGUGCAGGAAGAAGGUUUUCGGAUCGUAAACUGUCUUUUCUCGGGAAGAGAAUGGACGGUACCCGAGGAAUCAGCCCCGGCUAACUACGUGCCAGCAGCCGCGGU